rnacentral:rRNA from 1 species
GUGCCAGCCGCCGCGGUAAUACGUAGGUGGCAAGCGUUAUCCGGAAUUAUUGGGCGUAAAGCGCGCGUAGGCGGUUUUUUAAGUCUGAUGUGAAAGCCCACGGCUCAACCGUGGAGGGUCAUUGGAAACUGGAAAACUUGAGUGCAGAAGAGGAAAGUGGAAUUCCAUGUGUAGCGGUGAAAUGCGCAGAGAUAUGGAGGAACACCAGUGGCGAAGGCGACUUUCUGGUCUGUAACUGACGCUGAUGUGCGAAAGCGUGGGGAUCAAACAGGAUUAGAU